CCUACGGGAGGCUGCAGUGGGGAAUAUUGGACAAUGGGCGAAAGCCUGAUCCAGCCAUGCCGCGUGUGUGAAGAAGGCCUUCGGGUUGUAAAGCACUUUCAGUGGGGAAGAAAGCCUUGGGGCUAAUACCCUCGAGGAAGGACAUCACCCACAGAAGAAGCACCGGCUAACUCCGUGCCAGCAGCCGCGGUAAUACGGAGGGUGCGAGCGUUAAUCGGAAUUACUGGGCGUAAAGCGCGCGUAGGCGGUCUGAUAAGCCGGUUGUGAAAGCCCCGGGCUCAACCUGGGAACGGCAUCCGGAACUGUCAGGCUAGAGUGCAGGAGAGGAAGGUAGAAUUCCCGGUGUAGCGGUGAAAUGCGUAGAGAUCGGGAGGAAUACCAGUGGCGAAGGCGGCCUUCUGGACUGACACUGACGCUGAGGUGCGAAAGCGUGGGUAGCAAACAGGAUUAGAUACCCGAGUAUC
rnacentral:rRNA from 1 species